AGUGAACGCUGGCGGUAGGCCUAACACAUGCAAGUCGAACGGCAGCACAGUAAGAGCUUGCUCUUACGGGUGGCGAGUGGCGGACGGGUGAGGAAUACAUCGGAAUCUACUUUUUCGUGGGGGAUAACGUAGGGAAACUUACGCUAAUACCGCAUACGACCUACGGGUGAAAGCAGGGGAUCUUCGGACCUUGCGCGAUUGAAUGAGCCGAUGUCGGAUUAGCUAGUUGGCGGGGUAAAGGCCCACCAAGGCGACGAUCCGUAGCUGGUCUGAGAGGAUGAUCAGCCACACUGGAACUGAGACACGGUCCAGACUCCUACGGGAGGCAGCAGUGGGGAAUAUUGGACUAUGGGCGCAAGCCUGAUCCAGCCAUACCGCGUGGGUGAAGAAGGCCUUCGGGUUGUAAAGCCCUUUUGUUGGGAAAGAAAAGCAGCAGGUUAAUACCCCGCUGUUCUGACGGUACCCAAAGAAUAAGCACCGGCUAACUUCGUG
rnacentral:rRNA from 1 species